AUUGAACGCUGGCGGCAUGCUUUACACAUGCAAGUCGAACGGCAGCACGGGCUUCGGCCUGGUGGCGAGUGGCGAACGGGUGAGUAAUACAUCGGAACGUACCCAGAAGUGGGGGAUAACGUAGCGAAAGUUACGCUAAUACCGCAUACGAUCUAUGGAUGAAAGCAGGGGACCGCAAGGCCUUGUGCUCCUGGAGCGGCCGAUAUCUGAUUAGCUAGUUGGUGAGGUAAAGGCUCACCAAGGCGACGAUCAGUAGCUGGUCUGAGAGGACGACCAGCCACACUGGAACUGAGACACGGUCCAGACUCCUACGGGAGGCAGCAGUGGGGAAUUUUGGACAAUGGGCGCAAGCCUGAUCCAGCAAUGCCGCGUGAGUGAAGAAGGCCUGCGGGUUGUAAAGCUCUUUUGUCAGGGAAGAAACGGUAGAGGCUAAGAGCCUUUGCUAAUGACGGUACCUGAAGAAUAAGCACCGGCGAACUACGU
rnacentral:rRNA from 1 species